UACGAAGGGGGCUAGCGUUGCUCGGAAUCACUGGGCGUAAAGGGUGCGUAGGCGGGUCUUUUAAGUCAGGGGUGAAAUCCUGGAGCUCAACUCCAGAACUGCCUUUGAUACUGAAGAUCUUGAGUUCGGGAGAGGUGAGUGGAACUGCGAGUGUAGAGGUGAAAUUCGUAGAUAUUCGCAAGAACACCAGUGGCGAAGGCGGCUGACUGGCC
rnacentral:rRNA from 1 species